rnacentral:rRNA from 1 species
CCUACGGGUGGCAGCAGUGGGGAAUAUUGCACAAUGGGGGAAACCCUGAUGCAGCGACGCCGCGUGAGUGAAGAAGUAUUUCGGUAUGUAAAGCUCUAUCAGCAGGGAAGAAAAUGACGGUUCCUGACUAAGAAGCCCCGGCUAACUACGUGCCAGCAGACGCAGUAAUACGUAGUGGGCAAGCGUUAUCCGGAUUUACUGGGUGUAAAGGGAGCGUAGACGGCCAGACAAGUCAGAAGUGAAAGCCCAGGGAUCAACCCGGGGCCUGCUUUUGACACUGCCGGGCUGGAGUGCAGGAGAGGUAAGCGGAAUUCCUAGUGUAGCGGUGAAAGGCGUAGAUAUUAGGAGGAACACUAGUGGCGAAGGCGGCUUACUGGAAUGUAACUGACGUUGAGGCUCGAAAGCGUGGGGAGCAAACAGGAUUAGAUACCCGUGUAGUC